rnacentral:miRNA from 1 species
CGAGAAAGAUCUUUAAUCGGGU